AUGCAACCCAAAGGGCUUCACCGCAGUGAAGGACAGCAGUUGUGGCAGAAGGUGAAAAGGCAAGUGGUGGUGGUACUCCAGUGUAUGUGUGUGUGUGAGGUGGAAUGGACCACAGUGAAAGGAAUGGCUCCUAUUUAUAGUGGGGUUAGUAGCUAUGUCGGUUUGGAGAGGCAUUACAUCUGGCAUGCAUGCGUGGUUAGGCUUGCAUGCAUGCCUCCACUUGUGUCUCUUGUAGGCUGUACUAGGGACAAGUGUAAUUUGCUUGACUGGCCAUUAGUUGGCAUUUACUUUAUGUGGAAAAAAAAUGAGACCAAGAUCUGA
rnacentral:rRNA from 1 species